UGCUGGAGAAGCAGGGCACGUGCAAGCUCUCUCCUCAAGCUUUCCUUGCACGUGCUCCCCUUCUCCAACA
rnacentral:misc_RNA from 1 species